AGUGAACGCUGGCGGUAGGCCUAACACAUGCCAGUCGAACGGCAGCACAGUAAGAGCUUGCUCUUACGGGUGGCGAGUGGCGGACGGGUGAGGAAUACAUCGGAAUCUACUUUUUCGUGGGGGAUAACGUAGGGAAACUUACGCUAAUACCGCAUACGACCUACGGGUAAAAGCAGGGGAUCUUCGGACCUUGCGCGAUUGAAUGAGCCGAUGUCGGAUUAGCUAGUUGGCGGGGUAAAGGCCCACCAAGGCGACGAUCCGUAGCUGGUCUGAGAGGAUGAUCAGCCACACUGGAACUGAGACACGUUCCAGACUCCUACGGGAGGCAACAGUGGGGAAUAUUGGACAAUGGGCGCAAGCCUGAUCCAGCCAUACCGCGUGGGUGAAGAAGGCCUUCGGGUUGUAAAGCCCUUUUGUUGGGAAAGAAAAGCAGCAGGUUAAUACCCCGCUGUUCUGACGGUACCCAAAGAAUAAGCACCGGCUAACUUCGUG
rnacentral:rRNA from 1 species